ensembl:antisense Gm11961 uncharacterized LOC110304245
GGUUAUCCUCUCAUGCUAAUCCACAAAGAGCAGUUGUCUUGUUUCCUGCCACUGGAUGUGAGAGGAGGGACUUUCAAGACAUCUCCAACAGACAGGAUGGUGGGAAACUUGAUGACAGGAUUUCUUUGUGUAGCCCUGCCUGUCCUGGAACUCACUAUGCAGACCAGGCUAUUCUGGAACUCAGACACUCGCCUACUUCUGUCUCCUGAGAGCUGAGGUUAAAGGCAUGAACCCCCACACCUGGCUUAUCAUCUGUCUUCUCAACAAGAGACUUCCCACAGAGAAGGGAUUCCAUACUUGGGUCAUGAAGAGAUGCUGAGACCUAUGUACCCUUCGAGUUGUACAGAGAGUUACAGGAGCACAUUUCAGUAGAGAAGAGAAGCUGAAGACUCUCAUCCAGCCCUGAAAUGAGUGUCCCCCUAGAACCCUAGUCCGGGGCUGAGGCAGAAAGAUUGAGAGCUGGAGCCUGGACUGGGUUACAUAACAAGAACCAAUCUAAAAGAAAGAAAAGAGUGUUUCUUUCCCCCAAUGCUAAUACUGCUCAUGGCACCUUGCCGAAACUCCUCUUCCCUUUCAGCUAAAAAUGCCCAAGAACCUCUAAAGGCUUGAGACAGGUUGGGAGCAGAGGCCAAAAGAAGGAAGGCAUUACAUUCUCUGGAACUGGAGUCACAGAUAGUUGUAAGCCACCAGGUGGGCUCGGAAUCCAAGCUGGGUCCUUAGAAGAGCGAGCGGCCAGUAUGACCUUACCUGCUGA